rnacentral:rRNA from 1 species
GACGAACGCUGGCGGCGUGCUUAACACAUGCAAGUCGAACGGAAAGGCCCUGCUUGCAGGGUACUCGAGUGGCGAACGGGUGAGUAACACGUGGGUGAUCUGCCCUGCACUUCGGGAUAAGCUUGGGAAACUGGGUCUAAUACCGGAUAGGAACCAUCUUUAGUGUGGUGGUUGGAAAGUUUUUUCGGUGUAGGAUGAGCUCGCGGCCUAUCAGCUUGUUGGUGGGGUAAUGGCCUACCAAGGCGGCGACGGGUAGCCGGCCUGAGAGGGUGUACGGCCACAUUGGGACUGAGAUACGGCCCAGACUCCUACGGGAGGCAGCGGUGGGGAAUAUUGCACAAUGGGCGCAAGCCUGAUGCAGCGACGCCGCGUGGGGGAUGAAGGCCUUCGGGUUGUAAACUCCUUUCGCUAGGGACGAAGCUUUUUGUGACGGUACCUAGAUAAGAAGCACCGGCUAACUACGUG